rnacentral:tRNA from 1 species
GCCCGAAUGGCGGAAUUGGUAGACGCGCUAGGUUCAGGGUCUAGUCCAUGUACUUGGGUAGGGGUUCGAGUCCCCUUUCGGGCACCA